CAAGUCGAACGGAGUUAUAUUGUAGCUUGCUAUGGUAUAACUUAGUGGCAGACGGGUGAGUAAUGUAUAGGAAUCUACCUAGUAGUACGGAAUAAUUGUUGGAAACGGCAACUAAUACCGUAUACGCCCUACGGGGGAAAAAUUUAUUGCUAUUAGAUGAGCCUAUAUUAGAUUAGCUAGUUGGUGGAGUAAUAGCCUACCAAGGCAAUGAUCUAUAGCUGAUCUGAGAGGAUGAUCAGCCAUACUGGAACUGAGAUACGGUCCAGACUCCUACGGGAGGCAGCAGUGGGGAAUAUUGGACAAUGGGCGAAAGCCUGAUCCAGCCAUGCCGCAUGAGUGAAGAAGGCCUUUGGGUUGUAAAGCUCUUUUAGUGAGGAAGAUAAUGACGGUACUCACAGAAGAAGUCCUGGCUAACUCCGUGCCAGCAGCCGCGGUAAUACGGAGAGGGCUAGCGUUAUUCGGAAUUAUUGGGCGUAAAGGGCGCGUAGGCUGGUUAGUAAGUUAAAAGUGAAAUCCCGAGGCUUAACCUUGGAAUUGCUUUUAAAACUGCUAACCUAGAGAUUGAAAGAGGAUAGAGGAAUUCCUAGUGUAGAGGUGAAAUUCGUAAAUAUUAGGAGGAACACCAGUGGCGAAGGCGUCUAUCUGGUUCAAAUCUGACGCUGAGGCGCGAAGGCGUGGGGAGCAAACAGGAUUAGAUACCCUGGUAGUCCACGCUGUAAACGAUGAAUGUUAAAUAUGGGGAGUUUACUUUCUGUAUUACAGCUAACGCGUUAAACAUUCCGCCUGGGGACUACGGUCGCAAGAUUAAAACUCAAAGGAAUUGACGGGGACCCGCACAAGCGGUGGAGCAUGUGGUUUAAUUCGAUGCAACGCGAAAAACCUUACCACUCCUUGACAUGGAAAUUAUACCUAUUCGAAGGGAUAGG
rnacentral:rRNA from 1 species